rnacentral:rRNA from 1 species
UACGUAGGCGGAAAAUUAAGUCAGUAGUGAAAUCCUGCAGCUUAACUGUAGAACUGUUAUUGAUACUGGUUUUCUUGAAUAUAGUUGAGGUAGGCGGAAUGUGUAAUGUAGCGGUGAAAUGCUUAGAUAUUACACAGAACACCGAUUGCGAAGGCAGCUUACUAAGCAAUUAUUGACGCUGAGGUACGAAAGCGUGGGGAGCGAACAGGAUUAGAUACCCUGGUAGUCC